CGCAGGAUCUCUGUCCUUAAUAUGUUUAUCUAUGAAACUCAAAAACAACACUACUAGUCGAACAAUACCCUAUACCUGGUUCGGUUGUGUGAGUGCAACCUGUUGAAAUCCCUGCUUAGUAUAUACUAAAUUGAUCUUCGGUAUAUGAAGGUAAAUUUCCAGGAUGGGAUGCCUGGGUCAUAUGGAGACUGUUGUCACUGACAAUCCUUAAUCAUCUUAUACCAGUAUCUAAGAAUCAGAUAAUUCAGAAUGAUGUCUUAUCUUUUUUAGAAUUAUUGUAGUGUUUUA